CGAAAGGGAAACAGCCCAGACCACCAGCUAAGGUCCCAAAAUAUAUGUUAAGUGGAAAAGGAUGUGGCGUUGCCCAGACAACUAGGAUGUUGGCUUAGAAGCAGCCAUCAUUUAAAGAGUGCGUAAUAGCUCACUAGUCGAGUGACACUGCGCCGAAAAUGUACCGGGGCUAAACAUAUUACCGAAGCUGUGGAUUGUCCUUUGGACAAUGGUAGGAGAGCGUUCUAAGGGCGUUGAAGCAUGAUCGUAAGGACAUGUGGAGCGCUUAGAAGUGAGAAUGCCGGUGUGAGUAGCGAAAGACGGGUGAGAAUCCCGUCCACCGAUUGACUAAGGUUUCCAGAGGAAGGCUCGUCCGCUCUGGGUUAGUCGGGUCCUAAGCUGAGGCCGACAGGCGUAGGCGAUGGAUAACAGGUUGAUAUUCCUGUACCACCUAUAAUCGUUUUAAUCGAUGGGGGGACGCAGUAGGAUAGGCGAAGCGUGCGAUUGGAUUGCACGUCUAAGCAGUAAGGCUGAGUAUUAGGCAAAUCCGGUACUCGUUAAGGCUGAGCUGUGAUGGGGAGAAGACAUUGUGUCUUCGAGUCGUUGAUUUCACACUGCCGAGAAAAGCCUCUAGAUAGAAAAUAGGUGCCCGUACCGCAAACCGACACAGGUAGUCAAGAUGAGAAUUCUAAGGUGAGCGAGCGAACUCUCGUUAAGGAACUCGGCAAAAUGACCCCGUAACUUCGGGAGAAGGGGUGCUCUUUAGGGUUAACGCCCAGAAGAGCCGCAGUGAAUAGGCCCAAGCGACUGUUUAUCAAAAACACAGGUCUCUGCUAAACCGUAAGGUGAUGUAUAGGGGCUGACGCCUGCCCGGUGCUGGAAGGUUAAGAGGAGUGGUUAGCUUCUGCGAAGCUACGAAUCGAAGCCCCAGUAAACGGCGGCCGUAACUAUAACGGUCCUAAGGUAGCGAAAUUCCUUGUCGGGUAAGUUCCGACCCGCACGAAAGGCGUAACGAUUUGGGCACUGUCUCAACGAGAGACUCGGUGAAAUCAUAGUACCUGUGAAGAUGCAGGUUACCCGCGACAGGACGGAAAGACCCCGUGGAGCUUUACUGUAGCCUGAUAUUGAAAUUCGGCACAGCUUGUACAGGAUAGGUAGGAGCCUUUGAAACGUGAGCGCUAGCUUACGUGGAGGCGCUGGUGGG
rnacentral:rRNA from 1 species